UCCAGACUCCUACGGGAGGCAGCAGUGAGGAAUAUUGGUCAAUGGGCGCGAGCCUGAACCAGCCAAGUCGCGUGAGGGAAGACGGUCCUAUGGAUUGUAAACCUCUUUUGUCGGGGAGCAAAUUCCGUUACGUGUAACGGAGUCGAGAGUACCCGAAGAAAAAGCAUCGGCUAACUCCGUGCCAGCAGCCGCGGUAAUACGGAGGAUGCGAGCGUUAUCCGGAUUUAUUGGGUUUAAAGGGUGCGCAGGCGGAUUUUUAAGUCAGCGGUCAAAUCGUGGGGCUCAACCCCAUCCAGCCGUUGAAACUGGGGAUCUAGAGUGUGCGAGAGGUAUGCGGAAUGCGUGGUGUAGCGGUGAAAUGCAUAGAUAUCACGCAGAACCCCGAUUGCGAAGGCAGCAUACCGGUGCACAACUGACGCUCAGGCACGAAAGCGUGGGUAUCGAACAGGAUUAGAUCCCCGAGUA
rnacentral:rRNA from 1 species